rnacentral:rRNA from 4 species
AGAGUUUGAUCCUGGCUCACAUUGAACGCUGGCGGCAUGCCUUACACAUGCGAGUCGAGCGGCAGCGCGGGGGCAACCCUGGCGGCGAGCGGCGAACGGGUGAGUAAUACAUCGGAACGUGUCCAGUAGCGGGGGAUAACCUGUCGAAAGAUAGGCUAAUACCGCAUACGACCUACGGGUGAAAGCGGGGGACCGCAAGGCCUCGCACUAUUGGAGCGGCCGAUGUCGGAUUAGCUAGUUGGCGGGGUAACGGCCCACCAAGGCGACGAUCCGUAGCUGGUCUGAGAGGACGACCAGCCACACUGGAACUGAGACACGGUCCAGACUCCUACGGGAGGCAGCAGUGGGGAAUUUUGGACAAUGGGCGCAAGCCUGAUCCAGCCAUGCCGCGUGAGUGAAGAAGGCCUUCGGGUUGUAAAGCUCUUUCGGCGGGGACGAAACGGUCCGUGCCAACACCACGGACUAAUGAUGGUACUCGCAGAAGAAGCACCGGCUAACUACGUGCCAGCAGCCGCGGUAAUACAUACGGUGCGGGCGUUAAUCGGAAUUACUGGGUGUAAAGCGUGCGCAGGCGGCUCCUUAAGUCACAUGUGAAAUCCCCGGGCUUAACCUGGGAACUGCGUUUGAAACUGAGGGGCUUGAGUGUGGAUGAGGGGGGUGGAAUUCCACGUGUAGCAGUGAAAUGCGUAGAGAUCUGGAGGAACACCGAUGGCCAAGGCAGUCCCCUGGGCUAACACUGACGCUCAUGCACGAAAGCGUGUGGAGCAAACCGGAUUAGAUACCCUGGUACUCCGCGCCCCUAAACGAUGUCCACUGAUUGUCGGGGAAGCAAUUCCUUGGCUAACGAGGCUAACCCGUGAAGAUGACACGCCUGGGUAGUACGGCCGCAGGUUUAAACUCACACGAAUUGACCGGUGACCCUCCACAAGCCG